rnacentral:misc_RNA from 1 species
GUUCAUGAAACUUGGAUCGAAGCCGGAUUCAUUUCAGUCAGAUGCAGACUGUGUCAGGUAUGUGUCUGGUGAGUUGGCAUCAGACUUCAUCAUUACUGUUGGGGAUGUAAAGUUUUAUCUGCACAAGUUUCCUCUUCUGUCAAAAAGUGCUCACUUGCAGAAGUCAGCUGCAAUUGGCAAUGGGGAAAACACUGAUGAAGUUGACAUUUCUGACAUUCCUGGUGGCCCUGCUGCUUUUGAGAUAUGUGCCAAAUUUUGUUAUGGGAUGAUUGUGACCCUCAAUGCUUACAAUGUCAUCGCGGCUCGAUGUGCAGCUGAGUACCUAGGAAUGAAUGAGAACAUUGAAAAAGGGAACCUCAUUUACAAAAUUGAUGUUUUCCUUAGCUCUAGUAUUUUUCGCAGCUGGAAGGAUUCUAUCGUUGCUCUGCAGACCACAAAGCCAUUGUUGCCAUUAUGUGAGGAACUGAAGAUGAUGAGUGCUUGCAUUGAUGGUGUAGCUACCAAGGCCUGUGUUGAUAUUUCAAAAGUUGACUGGUCCUAUAGCUAUAACCGGAAGAAACUCCCAAAAGAAAAUGAUAAUGAUCCAAAUGUGAAUGGUAUGAGACACCGAUCGGUGCCGAAAGACUGGUGGGUUGAGGAUUUGUGUGAUCUUGAUAUUGAUUUAUACAAGCGUGUUAUUAUGGCAAUUAGAACCAAGGCUAUACUUUCUAGUGAGGUAAUUGGAGAAGCUUUGAAAGCUUAUGCUUAUAGGAGAUUACAAGGUUUAAGCAAGGGUGUGAUCCAAUGUGGAGAAGCAAUAAAAUAUAGAUCAACAGUUGAUACAAUUUUGUGUCUGUUGCCUGCUGAGAGAGGCAGCAUCUCCUGUAGUUUUUUGCUGAAGUUAUUAAAAGCAACCAUAUAUGUAAACCUAGGAGACAUGACAAAGGGACAGCUAAUCAAGAAAAUAGGCCAGCAACUGGAGGAGGCUUCUGUACAUGAUCUGUUGAUACAUGCAGCAGAAGGGGAGAGUAUGAUGUAUGAUGUUGAUACAGUAAAGAAAAUAGUUGAAGAGUUUCUGAUGCAAGAUCAGAAUGCUGAGAUUGAUUCACUGGAAGAAGGCCAAGAGGUGCAGGAGAUAAGAAGACCAGGGAUUUUAUCGGAUGCUUCCAAGCUCAUGGUGGCAAAACUGAUAGAUGGAUACCUUGCUGAAAUUGCAAAAGAUCCCAAUCUACCCUUGUUGAAGUUUGUUGAGCUCGCUGAGAUGGUGUCUGGUAUCUCCCGGCCUGCUCAUGAUGCCCUAUACCAAGCAAUUGACAUGUUUCUUAAGGAGCAUCCGGGGAUCAGCAAAGGCGAGAGGAAGAGAAUAUGCAAGUUGAUGGAUUGCAAGAAGCUAUCAGUUGAUGCAUGCAUGCAUGCAGUGCAGAACGAGAGACUGCCAUUGCGGUUGGUCGUGCGGAUACUCUUUUAUGAGCAGGUCAGGGUGGCCGCCACAUCAGGAAGUAGCACUCCUGACCUUCCCAAAGGUCUCUGGGAUCUAAAUAAUGGAUCUCGUGGGAGCUCAAGGUCAGCUGCUACUAAUCCGGAGGAAGAUUGGGAUGCUGUGGCUACAGCCGAUGAGCUCAGGGCCCUAAAAGCAGAGAUAGCAUCCUUAAGGUUAAGUAAUGCAGAGAGAAAUGGGAGGGGUAAAAAUAGUAUAGAUAAGGCCACAAAUAACAGAGUGAAGGGUUUGCUCAAGUCAAAGAAGAUCCUUACAAAGCUUUGGUCAAGCAAAGGAGAAAAGGGUGAGAACAGUGGGUCAGAUUCAUCUGAUAGUCUUGGUUCUGCUAAUCCUGAAGUAGCCAAGUCCACACCCUCCAGAAAUGGAAGGCAUUCUGUCUCUUAGAAGAAAUUACUAUUAGAUUUCUGGUUGGUUUUUGGUUUUUUGGCCAAGUCUAAAUUAAUGAUA